rnacentral:tRNA from 1 species
GGGGGUGUAGCUCAGUGGUAGAGUGUGUGCUUAGCAUGCACAAGGUCCUGGAUUCAAUCCUUUGUACCUCUG